rnacentral:tRNA from 1 species
UCCCUGGUGGCUCAGAUGGUAAAGCGUCUGCCUACAAUGCAGGAGACCCGGGUUGAAUCCCUGGGUCGGGAA